GGCACUAUAGUGUAGUGGUUUAUCACUUGGGAUUUUGAACAUGCUGGCUGGUCGGCCUCUUCUCCAGGUUGGCCGGUUAGCGUGGAUCUUCCCAGAACCCAGGUUCGAACCCUGGUAGUGCCU
rfam:Dichomitus squalens LYAD-421 SS1 unplaced genomic scaffold DICSQscaffold_107, whole genome shotgun sequence.